ACACGGCAGUAUACAAUUGUGCCCAUC
rnacentral:sRNA from 1 species